rnacentral:rRNA from 1 species
AGCCUGCCCAGUGACUCUGUUCAACGGCCGCGGUAUCCUAACCGUGCGAAGGUAGCGUAAUCACUUGUUCUUUAAAUGUGGACUAGUAUGAAUGGCAUCACGAAGGUUAUACUGUCUCCUUUUUCUAAUCAGUGAAACUAAUCUCCCCGUGAAGAAGCGAGGAUAAGAAUAUAAGACGAGAAGACCCUAUGGAGCUUUAAACAAAGUAGCACUCGCCACAUAAAUAAAAAUUCCAGAAUCAUUAUUUACCUUAAGCGACCUGACUAUGUGUUUUUGGUUGGGGUGACCGCGGAGCAUAAUACAACCUCCAUGUUGAAAGAAAAUUUUCUAAGCUGAGAACUACACCUCUAAGUAUCAAAAAAUUGACAUCCAUUGACCCAAUAAAUUUGAACAACGAACCAAGUUACCCUAGGGAUAACAGCGCAAUCCACUUCAAGAGCUCCUAUCGACAAGUGGGUUUACGACCUCGAUGUUGGAUCAGGGUCUCCCAGUGGUGCAGCCCUACUAAAGGUUCGUUUG